UUAAACAGAGCAUAAAUAAUUACACAAUUCAUUUCUCAUCAACACAAUAAAACAAUCGCACACCAAAUAUCAAUUUAAAAACAACAUUUACAUUCAAACAUAAUGUAAUUGAUUUAAGUUUUUUUUAAAGCAUGUAGUGUACUGCAGUAUUAUCAUGGUAUAGUAAGUAUAAUACUAUAGCUGUACCAUGGUAUAGAUCAAAACAUCAUGACAGUACCAUGUACUAAACCAUAAAAUAAAAACCAAAAUAAUCCCUGCCAAUACUGUUUACUGUAUUUUACACAUGAAUUUGUUUCCAUAAUAAACAAAGCCUGUCACGUAAAUAAAUUCACGAUUAUGUGUAUUUCAGUUUCAGCCGCUAGAUGUCACUGUGGCGCCACAUUCACCUCCACACCGCCAAUUAUGAAGAUGGAUAAAAUAUGAACGAUUUAAACUACGAGUGUGGGAACUGAUUCUGACCGCUGACAACAAAACAAGCUGAACAUUUGAGAUUUCGAGAUCUGACCCUGUCUCUUGUUUAUAUGCGUCCCGAGCGAAACGCACCCAACCACAACAUCAAUCAGCCACCGAUAAUAAAUGCACAGAUGCUCUUCAGAGAGCUCGAGAAACAAUGUCGACCAGAAGGUCCAGAGAAGACCGGCAGUUCUUCAACAAUUCAGAUGUUGGCAGUCACCCUGAUCUCUCAUCAGAAAUAAAGAACAGAGUAAUCACAAUUCCUCUCUUUUUGAAGUCAGUCUCUGUAAACUUGACACCAUCCUCACACAAGCAGGGACAAACUCUACUCUGCCUGCCCCCUAGAGGCCUCACAAAAUAAUUCCACCUGUCACCAUGACAACGCUCCACACCUGCUGGUGUCACCUGUAUCUCCAGCCUGUAUCGUAUGUCCAAACUUCCUGCUUUUACUGGGUUAACGUGCCAGCCAACGACAGCACAAUUUCACAAAAAUUUGCAGUGUGUGUAUAGUCAUACCUGCGAACCGUGAGACGCAGUGUUUUGUAAGAUCCUUUCACGAGAGAAAUGGCCUCCUGUCUCCAUCCACUCAACUCAACCUCAUUAAUUAUGACAACCUCAUCUCCAACCUGUAGUGGGUGCUGUAACAGAGAUGCUUUGCCGCCCUCCUCUACCUGUGGAUACACACAAACACACACAUAAAGAUUGUGUGCACUCAGUAUGAUAAUACAUGGAGGCUACAAAGGAUUUAUGAAGAAAAUUAAAAACACAUGCUUGCUCAACUGCACAGAGCCAGCUUAGAAUUCAAAGAAUGUUUUCUUUGGACCUUCUCGUCUACACAUUCAGAGUCUCCAGACACUAAUAUUUCAUAUAAUCUCUCGCCCCGUAUACAGAGGACGGAGUCCCACGUUACAAAAGCUCUGCGGUGCAUCCAGUCAACAAUGUCAUUAUACACCUGAAAAGAGCCAGAAAGACUUGCAUUCAUUCUGUUCCUGCUUCUGAACAACACAAAGAGCACAAGGCAUUAGUCAUGCACAGGAAACCUAAUGUUUAGAUAUUUCCACCACAAAGAAACCUCUGUGAAGCCCAAGAAGCAUCGUACCAUUAACAAGAAGGGCAGAAUUUGUUUAUAGAUAAGAUCUGUUAAUGUACUUUUAUUUUAGACAUGUGAUGUCUCACUCUGGAUUGUUCCAACAAUGAAAAGUCCUGUGGUGUGACAUUGAAAUAUUUCCCCUGGAAACAAAUGUUUCGAUUGUAUAUGUAACAAAAGCAAUUAGUGAGCAGUCAAAAUGAUUCAGAAUUUUGUUUAUUUAAAAAAUAAUCACGGAUAUGCGUCUUGCUCAAGGGGACAAUGGAGGCAGUCAUGUUAUUUUUUGCCAAGCAGAAGAUAUUCUUGUAUUAAUAACAUUACUGUCAAACAAACCUAGUUCCAACCCUAACUAUAGCUGGACGAUAUUGACCCAAAUUCAUAUCACAUUAAUUCCUGGAUUAAUAUGUGUGCACGUUAUUAAAGACAAAUGCAAUACAUGGUAAUUUGCUGAAUUAUGCGAUGAACAGUAUGUGCUUGCUAAAUAAAAUUGAACUUAUUUAAAACAUAACAAAAUACAUGCUUCACAUUCUUUCCGACCAUUGAUCAUCUUCCACAUGUCAAAGCAGCCAUUUUCACUUUACUUAAACUUUGAAUAUACAUAAACCUUUCAAGUAUUAAAAUGACU